rnacentral:rRNA from 1 species
UACGGAGGAUCCAAGCGUUGUCCGGAUUUAUUGGGUUUAAAGGGUGCGUAGGCGGAUUACUAAGUCAGGGGUGAAAGUUUGCAGCUUAACUGUAAAAUUGCCUUUGAAACUGGUAGUCUUGAGUAUAGUUGAGGUGGGCGGAAUGUGUCAUGUAGCGGUGAAAUGCUUAGAUAUGAUACAGAACACCGAUUGCGAAGGCAGCUCACUAAACUAAAACUGACGCUGAGGCACGAAAGCGUGGGGAGCAAACAGG